UGAAUCUUAACUAAUGAGAUCUCAGUCCCAUUAAUAUAUCUUUUAAUAUUACUGCAAUUAAAGUCAAAAGCAAUUUAUCUUAUUAUCUGAUUCAUCUCGUUCUAGUUCUUUUCCUAAUCUCCAUCGCUUCUGCCUCUUCUAUUAUGGAAGUUCCAUACCACUAAGCUUCUCAUGCGUCUGCCGCUCCUCUUACUACCGUCUACUCCAACCCGUCUUUCUCUGCAACAAUCACCGCUGAUUCUGAACCCGUCUUUCUAGGCCGUUGUGCUCGUAAAGAUUUCCGAAUCUUACACCAGGAAGUGAAUGGUUCUAAGCGUGUGAAACUUAAACAGUGCUGCAACUUCUCAAAAGCCUACAGCUGUAUUGGAAGCCUUGCAGAAUUAUUAUGAGUCCUAUAAUGCAAACGUUCAUCAAGGAAUCCACUAAUUAAGUGAAGGCUCAGAUGAAUUUGAGUUAGCUAGGAAAAAAUAUCUAUCAGGAUGCUUAGGACUUCGUUCAUUUUGGAAGAGUCAAUGCUUAGGACUUCUUUCAGUGUAAACCAUGAUGCCGACCCUGAAGCUAAUCUUGUACAAUUCAAUUUGAAGACUUUCUCGGGGCUCUCGUUGAUAGUCACUAUCAACCUUAGUUUAGAUGGUAUCUUGUAGCAAAAUUUGUUAUUUAUUUUAUUUUGUUUUGUAAAUUUGUA